AGUGAACGCUGGCGGUAGGCCUAACACAUGCAAGUCGAACGGCAGCACAGUAAGAGCUUGCUCUUACGGGUGGCGAGUGGCGGACGGGUGAGGAAUACAUCGGAAUCUACUUUUUCGUGGGGGAUAACGUAGGGAAACUUACGCUAAUACCGCAUACGACCUACGGGUGAAAGCAGGGGAGCUUCGGACCUUGCGCGACUGAAUGAGCCGAUGUCGGAUUAGCUAGUUGGCGGGGUAAAGGCCCACCAAGGCGACGAUCCGUAGCUGGUCUGAGAGGAUGAUCAGCCACACUGGAACUGAGACACGGUCCAGACUCCUACGGGAGGCAGCAGUGGGGAAUAUUGGACAAUGGGCGCAAGCCUGAUCCAGCCAUGCCGCGUGAGUGAAGAAGGCCUUCGGGUUGUAAAGCCCUUUUGUUGGGAAAGAAAAGCAGCAGGUUAAUCCCCCGCUGUUCUGACGGUACCCAAAGAAUAAGCACCGACUAACUUCGUG
rnacentral:rRNA from 1 species